rnacentral:lncRNA from 1 species
UCUGAAAGAAAAGAUAUAAGGAGAGGUAUUUUACAGUAGUUUUACCCUGUAAUACCCAAAUACUCUUUUACUCCAUGGGGCACUUCACCAACAUUUUCAUUUUUUGUCUUCAUUUUUUUGUCUUUAUAAUUGAUCUCCAGGCUAGUUGAUCUUGGCACUAAUGCACUGUGGAGCACGGGUGGCUGGUUGCUAGGCAAUCUCACUUGAAACAGCAACAUUGCUGGGCCUCUUACCUAUGAGAGUCUUGUCUGGGGAGAAUCUAAGGCAUUAAACUACUUCUAAUGCUUUUCUCCUUAGGUCUCCAAACAAAACCAACAAAAAACAGAGAUUUGAAUGAAUACUGAAGGCAUUUCACAACCCAAAAACAGUAAUGCCUUUUGAAGAAAUACAACUCCCAGUAACAGCACAGAGUCUGCUAGACUGUACCCACCACCAUCAGUGGGGCUCUAAGAAGAUAUCAACGCACAUUUACUUAAAUAAAAU